GGAACUCCUUUCUUUUAUGACUCCCAUCCACAAAGAGGGCACACAAAUAUUAAUCCCCUUUCAACCCCUCAUCUUCGACAGUUUGUGCUUCCAGAUCAGUUGGGUCGGCGCUGGCAGUUUGGGGUGCUGGAAGGAGAGAUACUCGAGAAAGGGGCAUGUGGUGUUCGUGGAGAACCAGUGAUCAAUGCAAUCAAUGUGGCAGAGCAUCUGGCAAAAAUGACUUGAGGCGCCAAACUGAAUCCAAGUUACAUUUUAUUUUCUUGGUUUGUUCUUUACAUUAUAGUUCGCAAAGGAUCGAAUCAGGAGUUUCACAUCUACAGCUGAUGUGAUUCUCUGUCUUCUUUUUUCUACUGAAACCAUGCUUAGCAGUGUCGCUGCAAAAAAAAUUCAAGUUCUGCUUCUUCUUCCCGAUUGAUGUGCUGCUAGGUAUCUUGGUCGAUGGAAAGCAAGAACAUCACAUCUGCUUCGAUGUUUUCUAUGAGUGUGCCUGGUGUUGCACCGUCGGUGAGUCCGGCCUUCUUCUUCGCCUCCUCCAGUUUUGCGCUUUGAAGAUGGUACUGCUGUGUCGCCGCUUUACCAUGCUGCUGAUACACAUCCAAGGCAGGUAAUAAUUAUAAUACCGCUGCUGAUUUUAAGAUGGAGAUUUUGUGUAUGCAUGGUGACACAAAUGUAGAUAGAUUCCAGUAUUCACAUUUGCUUUUAACGUCUCUUAUUCAAUGUUUAUUCUUAAUAGCGCCAAAAUCUAAGAAGUGCAGUCCAACCUUAAUUUCCUGACAAUUAUAUGAUGUUUAGGAACAUAUCUUGCAUAUAGCGUUAUCAUAGAGUGACCAAGUUGGUGUUGCCUUCAGGAUUAUCUCAUGGUAUUUUCGAUGCCAUUCCAACAGUUGAAUACUAAUUGGUACAUUUAGUUGUACAUUCCUUAUACAAAAUUGCAGAAAAUGGUACAUAAUCUCCUAAAAUUUUACAAGCAUAAUAAAUCUAAAUAUGGGAUACUUGGUCAUGUUCCUUUUCUAUGUGCUCCUCCACAUUUAUAAUUUAGCAAAUUGCUUGCUGUUAUUGUAGCUUUAAUGCCUAAUACAUCCUUAUUCAUAUUAUUCUUAGUAUUACCAGAUUCAGGAUUAUGUGUUGAGUUCUUAAGGCCUCAUGACGUUGGUGCUUUGUUUUUACAAUAGAAGUGCACCAACGUGUUUUGGUAGGAUAAUUAUCCUAGCAUAGAGACCCCCUUUUAAAGAAUAAGACAAUCUUUAUUAUCGAGAUCUGACGUACGGAAUUAUGGUAUGUAACUUUUCGUUUGCAGAAUGGUAGCAUGCUUAGCUCGAUGCAAUUGGGAUCAAGGUUAUAGAAGGCUUGAAUUGAUAAAAUUGUUUUCAGUUUAUAAGCCAAGAAGAAACAUUAAGAUUAAAAUGUGUAUUCCAGAUGUGAAUACUAAAAUUCCUACUCUGUUGUGCUGUGAAAGCUUCAUGACUGGACUCAUUGCUGUCUGAAUGUUCUAGAAGAGGCAUGUAUCUAAAUUUGCUGCACACAGGUGGUACAGACUACAAAAGGAACUAUUGUACUGCAAUUGACCUCCAAUCGUUUUAAUGAAAUGCUCAGCCAGGUGAUGCCACAAAAUUUGACACUCCAUAAUGGCCUUCAUCCUUUUACUAGGUCUGCCCACUCAGCUUUGCUUCAUCAUCUGGCAUGUCGAUCUUUUUUCGAUUAAGCUUAGUUGAACUUCCGACAGUCUUCGGCUUUCCUAUGACUCAAUCAUCUAGAUAUAAAUACUUUGUUGGCACAUAUAUGCUAAGAAUGCUUGUAUUCAGAAUUUCUAAAAAUUGUUCUCCAACUGGAUAAGUAACUAUUUCUGCAAUACACAAAAGUGACAAAACUGCAUCUUUAAUAUAUUUAUUAAUUUAUUUAGGUCGAUGCAAGUGGUCGGCUGAUGAUGCCCUUGGUUUGGUAAUUCUGUUUCUUUUCUUUGUGCGUGUCGCCCGCAUCUGGGAAUUCAGAGAUCUGGCGACUCGACUAAAUCUAUAUACGGGCAACACAAUGGAGGGCUGUGUGUCGGCCAACGGAAAAGCCCUGUUCAGAGAACAGCUAUAUGAGGGUUCGAUAUCCUGGUAUAGGGGAUAAUGGAGGGCCAAACCUGGACCUAAAACAAAGAGGUCUUUAUAAAGGAACCAGCAAAUAAAAGCUACAUGAACGAUUUGAAUUACUCCUUCCAUGUGUACAGAAUAUUCUCCUAGGAUAUUACUAUGGCAGAUGUUGGAUUUUACAAAUGAUACCAUGUUUGAAAACUCAUGGGAUUUCUGUUUUGGGAGCCAAGUCAGAGAGCUCCAACUAUGUCUCAUAAUAAGCUAAAGCUGCAUUAGCCAACUUUUCAAUACUUGAAGAAACAAAUGCUUUGCGAA